rnacentral:lncRNA from 1 species
UAAAACUUGUGGUCUUAAAAGGUUAAGGGGUAAAAGGUUCAUGGGGUCAUACCAUUUGUGUGGCUAUAAAAGCUUCUCACUAAGGGCAAAAAUGGUAAAUGAAGAGUCUAAAGUUGAAUUAUUUCUAAAUUUAGAAAUGUAUUAUUCAUUUUGAAACAGACUAAAAAGAAAAGUACCUCAAACAAUAUGAAACAGAUGGAGU